GAAAUAGUUGCUUCCUUUCCAGAAGCAAAUGUCAAGAUUAGUAAGGAAAAGUCAAGGAAGUCCGCUGCAGUUGGAUAAAAUCUUGCUGUCCAGCUUCAUUUGAUGAAUGGCAGCUCCGUGUUACAGAAGAGCAGAGCUCACCCUGCCUCCUCUAAUUCUGAAGACCUGUAGCAGUGAAACUUCACCUUUGCCUUCCAAGCUUAAUUUUUAGUCUAUUAAGUCAUUUCUCAGGUGAAAACUUUUCCACAUCUUUGACUAUUUCUAACUCUUUUCUGUACAAAGAGGAGAAGCUACAGUAGAACUACAAGAGAAUAAAAAGUCAUUCCUUCAGCAGCUUUCCACUGUACGAAGCAGCCCUUUGUACCAGGUACCACACAUGCCUUCCCAGGGAAAUUUCUUUACAUUUUCCAAUUGGAUUCUGCCAGGAGGGUGAAAAAAUUAUUGUUUAUUCCAUAUUAUCAUGUUAGAAAUAAUGUGUAUGAGCUAUCUAUAAACUUAACAUAAAGUGACAUUAAUUUAGUGGCGUUAUAAGGCUGUUUUUCUGCUAGUGAAAAUGUUCCUAUUUAAGGAUAUAUAAUAACAAACAUUAUUUUCUGUUUCUCCAUUUCACUCCACAAUAAUUCUGGUAUUUUGCACAAGAUGCAGGUAUAUAUUACACAUUUUUAAGUCCCAAACACAUUUACCUGUGCACUGUCAGUGUCCCGGAUUCCUAAUACAUAUGGGUU